UACAGAGGGGGCAAGCGUUGUUCGGAAUUACUGGGCGUAAAGGGCGCGUAGGCGGCCUUCUAAGUCGAACGUGAAAUCCCCGGGCUCAACCCGGGAACUGCGUCCGAUACUGGAAGGCUUGAAUCCGGGAGAGGGAUGUGGAAUUCCUGGUGUAGCGGUGAAAUGCGUAGAGAUCAGGAAGAACACCGGUGGCGAAAGCAUUCUGCUAGACCUGUACUGACACUGAGGGACGAAAGCUAGGGGAGCGAAUGGG
rnacentral:rRNA from 1 species